UACAGAGGGGGCAAGCGUUAUUCGGAAUUAUUGGGCGUAAAGGGCGCGUAGGCGGCCUGGCAAGUGACGGGUGAAAGCCCUCGGCUCAACCGAGGAACUGCCUGUCAUACUGCCAGGCUUGAGUCCGGGAGAGGUGAGUGGAAUUCCCAGUGUAGCGGUGAAAUGCGUAGAUAUCUGGAGGAACACCAACGGCGAAGGCAGCACUCUGGGCCGGUACUGACGCUGAGGAGCGAAAGCGUGGGGAGCGAACAGG
rnacentral:rRNA from 1 species